rnacentral:rRNA from 1 species
UACGGAGGGAGCUAGCGUUGUUCGGAAUUACUGGGCGUAAAGCGCACGUAGGUGGCUUUGUAAGUUAGAGGUGAAAGCCCGGGGCUCAACUCCGGAACUGCCUUUAAGACUGCAUCGCUUGAAUCCAGGAGAGGUGAGUGGAAUUCCGAGUGUAGAGGUGAAAUUCGUAGAUAUUCGGAAGAACACCAGUGGCGAAGGCGGCUCACUGGUCCGGUACUGACGCUGAGGUGCGAAAGCGUGGGGAGCAAACAGGG